rnacentral:misc_RNA from 1 species
GAAAUGCGAUAAGUAGUGUGAAUUGCACAAUUCAGUGAAUCAUCGAAUCUUUGAACGCACAUUGCGCCCCUUGGUAUUCCAUGGGGCAUGCCUGUUCGAGCGUCAUUUGUACCCUCAAGCUCUGCUUGGUGUUGGGUGUUUGUCCCCGUCUCCGCGCGUGGACUCGCCCCAAAGUGAUUGGCAGCCGGCGUACUGGUCCCGGAGCGCAGCACAUGUCGCGCAAACGAGUGCCUUGGUACGGCGGCGUCCAUAAGCCCCUCUCUCACGCUCUUGACCUCGGAUCAGGUAGGGAUACCCGCUGAACUUAAGC